CAUAAUCUUUUCUCUAUACUUGAGCCUGAUUAACAUCAUUAGCUCAAAUUAUAAGAAAUGGGGAUAAAACCGAGACGAAAAACUCCAACUUUCUCGGUGGAGAUUGAUGACAAUUGAAAUAAGAGAACUUGCAAAAAGUUUCAACAUAUAACCAAACACUUUCAAUUUCCAGCUUCAAUAAGUAGAGUGGUGAGUAAAACCCAGCUCAGGCUAUUGAACAGCAUUAUCGAAUUCAAUAGUUCAUCAAAUUUCAGACCAAGUACUCACAAUCAGAUGCAAUUCCAGAAACCGUACAAUAUUACAUAGAAGAAGGUAAGAGAUUAAAUUAACUCACGCUAAAGCUUUGCUCAAGCAAGGACACAGAGACCGCCGAGAGCUAGAGAGUUUCACCCCAAAAAAAAAAAGGUGGAGAAGACGAGAGCCUUCACAGCAACGUCGUUUUAGGUUUCAUUAAUUAACCUAAUUAAAUUAAACGAUUAAUAGCGAGGAAACUAAAUAAAGUCUAAUUAAAAGAAGCGGGACGACAACUAAACCCUACGCUACAUAAAAAGGCGACCUUUUAAGAAUUUUGACCGGCGAUUGUA
rnacentral:telomerase_RNA from 1 species